GCCUGGCUGGCUCAGUUGGUAGAGCAUGUGACUCUUGAUCUCGGGAUCAUGAGCUCAAUCCCCAUGUUGGGUG
rfam:Felis catus isolate Cinnamon breed Abyssinian chromosome B4, whole genome shotgun sequence.